rnacentral:rRNA from 1 species
CCCCUAGAUGUUCUGGGUCGCACGCGCGCUACACUGAACAGUUCAACAAGUCUUAACCUUGGCCGAUAGGUCUGGGUAAUCUUUGAACGCUGUUCGUGAUUGGGAUAGACCUUUGCAAUUAUGGGUCUUCAACGAGGAAUUCCUAGUAAACGCAAGUCAUCAGCUUGCAUUGAUUACGUCCCUGCCCUUUGUACACACCGCCCGUCGCACCUACCGAUUGAAUGGUCCGGUGAAAUCUCGGGACGGCGGCUUGGUCGCUUGCGUCCGACUGCUGAAACUUGAUUAAACCAUAUCAUUUAGAGGAAGGUGAAGUCGUANCA